rnacentral:rRNA from 1 species
UCGAGGAUCUUUAGCAAUGGGGGAAACCCUGACUAUGCGACGCCGCGUGAGGGAUGAAGGUUUUCGGAUCGUAAACCUCUUUCGAUGGGAAAGAAACUUUUCACUGAAAGGUGAAAACUGACGGUACCCAGAGAAGAAGCCACGGCCAACUCCGUGCCAGCAGCCGCGGUAAUACGGGGGUGGCGAGCGUUACUCGGAUUUAUUGGGUGUAAAGGGCAGGUAGGUGACCUUACAAGUUUUGGGUGAAAUCCUGUGGCUCAACCACAGAACUGCCUAAAAAACUGUAAGGAUUGAGACUGGAAGAGGAAAGCGGAAUUCCCGGUGUAAGAGUGAAAUCUGUAGAUAUCGGGAGGAACACCAGUGGCGAAGGCGGCUUUCUGGUCCAGUUCUGACGCUGAGCUGCGAAAGCUAGGGGAGCAAACA